UCUAUAUAAGUUAACAUAUUCAUUCGAUACUGAUAUGUCACCUUGUUAUGCGCAGUUUGUCUCAAUGAAGAGUCAUAUCCUGUUCUUAGUUCCAUACUCUUGUGAACAAGAUCUCUGGAUACAUGCUAUCCAAAAUCGAGUCAAAGUCUAAGAGACACUGAACCAGAUGAUGGAAUUGAUACGGCUUAUUAUUUUAGGGGUAGAUUUGAUUGGCCCAGCUAUGUACUUUGGUCUCAUGGGUGAUGGUCAGCCUAUUGGUAGCUACGACGACAUGUGGGCUGGUUGGUGCAUCAAGCAUAGCUAAAUAUGAAGCAUAUGCUCCGUACUUAGUUGUUUGGGAUUGAAGACCACUUGAGCUUGGGAGUGAAGACAAGCUUGGGAUGAGCUUAACCCACCAGCAGCCAAUGGCAAAGCUUGAGCAGUAAUGAGCCAAAAA